GAUGAACGCUGGCGGCGUGCCUAAUACAUGCAAGUAGAACGCUGAAGGAAGGAGCUUGCUCUUUCCGGAUGAGUUGCGAACGGGUGAGUAACGCGUAGGUAACCUGCCUGGUAGCGGGGGAUAACUAUUGGAAACGAUAGCUAAUACCGCAUAACAGUAGAUGUUGCAUGAUAUCUACUUAAAAGGUGCAAUUGCACCACUACCAGAUGGACCUGCGUUGUAUUAGCUAGUUGGUGAGGUAACGGCUCACCAAGGCGACGAUACAUAGCCGACCUGAGAGGGUGAUCGGCCACACUGGGACUGAGACACGGCCCAGACUCCUACGGGAGGCAGCAGUAGGGAAUCUUCGGCAAUGGACGGAAGUCUGACCGAGCAACGCCGCGGGAGUGAAGAAGGUUGUCGGAUCGUAAAGCUCUGUUGUAAGAGAAGAACGAGUGUGAGAGUGGAAAGUUCACACUGUGACGGUAUCUUACCAGAAAGGGACGGCUAACUACGUG
rnacentral:rRNA from 1 species